UAAGAAAAAGCGUCAUGGAGGCGCAGAGAGCUUUGAUCUCUCCCGGGUGGGUUCAAUUCCCACUUUCUUGA
rnacentral:tRNA from 1 species